rnacentral:misc_RNA from 1 species
UACGGAGGGUGCGAACGUUAAUCGGAAUUACUGGGCGUAAAGCGCGCGUAGGCGGUUCGAUAAGUGGGAUGUGAAAGCCCUGGGCUCAACCUAGGAACUGCAUUCCAAACUGUCGGGCUAGAGUGUGGUAGAGGGAGGUAGAAUUUCCUGUGUAGCGGUGAAAUGCGUAGAUAUAGGAAGGAAUACCAGUGGCGAAGGCGGCCUCCUGGACCAACACUGACGCUGAGGUGCGAAAGCGUGGGGAGCAAACAGG